rnacentral:rRNA from 1 species
UACGUAGGGGGCUAGCGUUGUCCGGAUUUAUUGGGCGUAAAGAGCGUGUAGGCGGCCAGGUAGGUCUGCUGUGAAAACUCGAGGCUCAACCUCGAGACGUCGGCGGAAACCAUCUGGCUAGAGUCCGGAAGAGGAGAGUGGAAUUCCUGGUGUAGCGGUGAAAUGCGCAGAUAUCAGGAAGAACACCCGUGGCGAAGGCGGCUCUCUGGGACGGUACUGACGCUAAGGCGCGAAAGCGUGGGGAGCGAACAGG